UCGGCGCGCGCCACCCGCGAGUGCUGCGCCUCAGCGCUGGUCUGGCUGGCGCGCGCUACUGCCUCCGGGGUGGCGGGGCCUGCGAGCAACCAAGAAAAUGACUCUCUUUUGAAUGGGAGAUGCCUCACCCUGGUAGAUACAACCCAAUCUCCAGCAAGGGGAAGGGGGCAAUCUGAAACCAAUGAGAAAUAGACAAGCUGGUAUUUCUGCAUAAAGCCAAAGGUGUAUCAGAUGAUUUAUUGUACCUUACUGUGUACAGCCAUUGGAGAGCUGGGCAAGGACAAGACCUAUCAGACUGCUGGAGAAGGUCAUCGAGAGACUGUGACAAAUGACUGUCCUGCAAGCCAGACCAAGACAAUCAAAGGCUCCUCACCUCUUCCUCUGUCCUUGGAAUGUAUGUUCUGACCAUUGUUCCCACAGAAAGGGAGCCAUUUUCAAGAAGGCAGCUUUAAGAGAGUAAGAUGUUGAAACCAGCUGGACUGAAUAUGUGACUGAACUUCAGGCCGCUAUGUAAACUUUUAAGAUCCUGGUGGUCAGGUGCUCAGAUCUACUCAUUUUAUGCCCACCAAAAUCAAGGCUUGUAAGUUUGUUCCCUUGCUUAUUAAGCCUGCUGCCUACCAAUCUGGGGUGGUCUGUCUCUUUCUUUGGUCUGCCUUACACUCUUGAGUAUGAAGGCCAGGUUCAGCUUUCACCGGAAAAAUCCCCAAGUUUCCAAACUAAUAUAUACAUCAGGCCUUACUGUCACCCAGAUUCUAUUCCUUUAAGAACUUUGGUAACAAUCAGCCAUAAAUUUAUGAAAAUAAUUAUCACUAGGUCACAGAGGAGACAACAUAGCCAUGGAUUCAAUAAAUUUUGUAAUAAUCUUUAUUGUACAAUACACUAAAGUGGUAUAAGUCAACCAUGUUACAAACCAUAAACUACAUAUUUCACAAAUGACAGCUGCUCCAGGAUUCAACAAUACAUUUUUAAGCACAGUGUAAUUUGUAAAAAUAUGAUGACCUAGUUAUACAGGCUAUCUUGUGUAACCAAAUAUGUUUUGAAAUAAAUUAGAUUUCUCUUUAAUUAUUUAGUUAGGUCAGACCAAUGAAUUGGAAGUGCAUUAAAAUGAAUGAAAUGCUGCUAUAUACAACAUGGAUGAAUCUUACAAAUGUGCUAAAAAACCUUACACAGGAGUUAUUGCUUUUUGGAUUUAUCAAUAUGGAUUUCAAAAAUAGG